AGUGAACGCUGGCGGUAGGCCUAACACAUGCAAGUCGAACGGCAGCACAGUAAGAGCUUGCUCUUACGGGUGGCGAGUGGCGGACGGGUGAGGAAUACAUCGGAAUCUACUUUUUCGUGGGGGAUAACGUAGGGAAACUUACGCUAAUACCGCAUACGACCUACGGGUGAAAGCAGGGGAUCUUCGGACCUUGCGCGAUUGAAUGAGCCGAUGUCGGAUUAGCUAGUUGGCGGGGUAAAGGCCCACCAAGGCGACGAUCCGUAGCUGGUCUGAGAGGAUGAUCAGCCACACUGGAACUGAGACACGGUCAAGACUCCUACGGGAGGCAGCAGAGGGGAAUAUUGGACAAUGGGCGCAAGCCUGAUCCAGUCAUACCGCGUGGGUGAAGAAGGCCUUCGGGUUGUAAAGCCCUUUUGUUGGGAAAGAAAAGCAGCAGGUUAAUACCCCGCUGUUCUGACGGUACCCAAAGAAUAAGCACCGGCUAACUUCGUG
rnacentral:rRNA from 1 species